rnacentral:rRNA from 2 species
UGGGGAAUAUUGCACAAUGAGCGAAAGCUUGAUGCAGCGACGCCGCGUGAGGGAUGACGGCUUUCGGGUUGUAAACCUCUUUCGGCAGGGAACAAGUCCAUGUUUUUGCAUGGUUGAGGGUACCUGCAUAAGAAGCGCCGGCUAACUACGUGCCAGCAGCCGCGGUAAUACGUAGGGCGCGAGCGUUGUCCGGAAUUAUUGGGCGUAAAGAGCUCGUAGGCGGCUUGUCACGUCUGCUGUGAAAACGCGGGGCUUAACUCCGCGCUUGCAGUGGGUACGGGCAGGAUUGAGUAUAGUAGGGGAGACUGGAAUUCCUGGUGUAGCGGUGGAAUGCGCAGAUAUCAGGAGGAACACCGAUGGCGAAGGCAGGUCUCUGGGCUAUAACUGACGCUGAGGAGCGAAAGCAUGGGGAGCGAACAGG